ACGUGAUGAAUAAACUCCCUUCUCUAUAUUGCCCUAGUUACUUCUGGCAUGAGACGUUGGAAGCAGAAGUGAAGAAGGCAGACAGGAAGUGAGAGCAAGACAUCAGGCACUGGGCUCUUGCAUGAUUCAGCAGAUCUGCAAGCUCACCAUGUUGGCAUGCAGCAACAUCCAGGCUCACAGCUCCUCCGGCUUCUUAGGAUUUGCACCUUCAGGUUCGCGGAGUCCUAGGCCAGAUAAAUGUGACUCUCUGUGACAAAGGGCACCAGUUCUCCUGCAGACUACUCAAGGCAUGGGAAUUUGAAGUAUGAGAGACAGAUAUAGAUAGGCUCCACUUUGUCCCCAUGGGUUCUAGUUGGUCCUCUGGGAUUCCAGUGUAUUCCUGGUCUUUCCCACCUCAUGUCCAGCUUUUUUCCCAUCCCCAGAAGCAGAAGCAACAGCUUUGCACAGAUUUCUCUCUCUGCUUCAUGACGUAUAAGGUCUAAUCCCUAUAAUAACUCUUUUGUUAUGUAUGUAAGACUGUUACUGGUUCUGACUUUCUGAUGGGGAGCCCCUAUUCUCAUCUGUGAUAAGAUCAUGAGUAAACUACUUUAUGAUCAUAUGACUUACUUUUCUCAUUUGUAAAAUAAGAA
rnacentral:lncRNA from 1 species